AUUGAACGCUGGCGGCAGGCCUAACACAUGCAAGUCGAACGAGUGGCGGACGGGUGAGUAAUGUCUGGGAAACUGCCCGAUGGAGGGGGAUAACUACUGGAAACGGUAGCUAAUACCGCAUACCAUCGGAUGUGCCCAGAUGGGAUUAGCUAGUGGGUGGGGUAAAGGCUCACCAAGGCGACGAUCCCUAGCUGGUCUGAGAGGAUGACCAGCCACACGGGGACUGAGAAACGGCCCAGACUCCUACGGGAGGCAGCAGUGGGGAAUAUUGCACAAUGGGCGCAAGCCUGAUGCAGCCAUGCCGCGUGUAUGAAGAAGGCCUUCGGGUUGUAAAGUACUUUCAGCGGGGAGGCGUUACCCGCAGAAGAAGCACCGGCUAACUCCGUGCCAGCAGCCGCGGUAAUUC
rnacentral:rRNA from 1 species